AUUGAACGCUGGCGGCAGGCUUAACACAUGCAAGUCGAUCGAGCGGCGGACGGGUGAGUAAUGUAUGGGGACUGCCUGAUAGAGGGGGAUAACUACUGGAAACGGUGGCUAAUACCGCAUACUAUCGGAUAACCCAUAUGGGAUUAGCUAGUAGGUGGGGUAAAGGCUCACCAAGGCGACGAUCUCUAGCUGGUCUGAGAGGAUGAACAGCCACACUGGAACUGAGACACGGCCCAGACUCCUACGGAGGCAGCAGUGGGGAAUAUUGCGCAAUGGGCGCAAGCCUGAUGCAGCCAUGCCGCGUGUAUGAAGAAGGCCUUAGGGUUGUAAAGUUCUUUCAGUAGGGAGGCGUUACCCACAGAAGAAGCACCGGCUAACUCCGUGCCAGCAGCCGCGGUAAUUC
rnacentral:rRNA from 1 species